CAAUAGCGUAUAUUAAAGUUGUUGCAGUUAAAAAGCUCGUAGUUGGAUUUCUGGUGGGAGCGAUCGGUCUGGCGCUUAGCGCGAGUACUUGCAUCGUCUCCGGCCAUCCUUGGGGAGAGUCUGUCUGGCAUUAGGUUGUCGGGCAGAGGAUCCUCAUCGUUUACUGUGAAAAAAUUAGAGUGUUCAAAGCAGGCUUAUGCCGUUGAAUAUAUUAGCAUGGAAUAAUAAGAUAGGACUUUGGUACUAUUUUGUUGGUUUGCGCACCAAAGUAAUGAUUAAUAGGGACAGUUGGGGGUAUUCGUAUUCCGUUGUCAGAGGUGAAAUUUUUGGAUUUACGGAAGACGAACUACUGCGAAAGCAUUUACCAAGGAUGUUUUCAUUAA
rnacentral:rRNA from 1 species